rnacentral:rRNA from 1 species
GGAUUCCCCUAGUAGCGGCGAGCGAAGCGGGAAGAGCUCAAAUUUGUAAUCUGGCACCUUCGGUGUCCGAGUUGUAAUCUCGAGAAGUGUUUUCCGCGCUAGACCGCAUGUAAGUCUGUUGGAAUACAGCGUCAUAGGUGGUGACAACCCCGUACGUAAUGCGGAUGCCUAGUGCUUUGUGAUACACUUUCGAAGAGUCGAGUUGUUUGGGAAUGCAGCUCAAAUUGGGUGGUAAAUUCCAUCUAAAGCUAAAUAUUGGCGAGAGACCGAUAGCGAACAAGUACCGUGAGGGAAAGAUGAAAAGCACUUUGGAAAGAGAGUUAAAAGUACGUGAAAUUGUUGAAAGGGAAACGCUUGAAGUCAGACUUGCGUAUUGGAGUUCAGCCGCAAGGUGUAUUCUUCAGUUUGCAGGCCAGCAUCAGUUUUCGGGGGUACAAAAGGGUAAGGGGAAGGUGGCAGCUUCGGCUGUGUUAUAGCCUCUUACUGGAUGUAUCCUUGGGGACUGAGGACUGCAGCGCACUUUUUGCAAGUCCCUCGGGACUUUCUGCGCUUAGGAUGCUGGUGGAAUGGCUUUAAACGACCCGUCUUGAAACACGGACCAAGGAGUCUAACAUGCUUGCGAGUAUUUGGGUGUCAAACCCGGAUGCGUAAUGAAAGUGAAUGGAGGUGGGAACCGCAAGGUGCACCAUCGACCGAUCCGGAUUUUCUAUGAUGGAUUUGAGUAAGAGCACGUAUGUUGGGACCCGAAAGAUGGUGAACUAUGCCUGAAUAGGGUGAAGCCAGAGGAAACUCUGGUGGAGGCUCGUAGCGGUUCUGACGUGCAAAUCGAUCGUCAA